GGAGGGUGCGAGCGUUAAUCGGAAUAACUGGGCGUAAAGGGCACGCAGGCGGUGACUUAAGUGAGGUGUGAAAGCCCCGGGCUUAACCUGGGAAUUGCAUUUCAUACUGGGUCGCUAGAGUACUUUAGGGAGGGGUAGAAUUCCACGUGUAGCGGUGAAAUGCGUAGAGAUGUGGAGGAAUACCGAAGGCGAAGGCAGCCCCUUGGGAAUGUACUGACGCUCAUGUGCGAAAGCGUGGGGAGCAAACAGGAUUAGAUACCCUGGUAGUCCACGCUGUAAACGAUGUCGAUUUGGGGGUUGAGCUUUGAGCUUGGCGCCCGUAGCUAACGUGAUAAAUCGACCGCCUGGGGAGUACGGCCGCAAGGUUA
rnacentral:rRNA from 1 species